ACGAAGGGUGCAAGCGUUAAUCGGAAUUACUGGGCGUAAAGCGUGCGUAGGCGGCUUUUUAAGUCGGAUGUGAAAUCCCCGGGCUCAACCUGGGAAUGGCAUCCGAUACUGGGGAGCUAGAGUUUGGGAGAGGGUGGUGGAAUUCCCGGUGUAGCGGUGAAAUGCGUAGAGAUCGGGAGGAACAUCAGUGGCGAAGGCGGCCACCUGGCCUAAAACUGACGCUGAGGCACGAAAGCGUGGGGAGCAAACAG
rnacentral:rRNA from 1 species